GACGAACGCGGCGGCGUGCCUAAUACAUGCAAGUAGAACGCUGAAGGAGGAGCUUGCUUCUCUGGAUGAGUUGCGAACGGGUGAGUAACGCGUAGGUAACCUGCCUGGUAGCGGGGGAUAACUAUUGGAAACGAUAGCUAAUACCGCAUAAUAGUAGAUGUUGCAUGACAUUUACUUAAAAGGUGCAAUUGCAUCACUACCAGAUGGACCUGCGUUGUAUUAGCUAGUUGGUGGGGUAACGGCUAACCAAGGCGACGAUACAUAGCCGACCUGAGAGGGUGAUCGGCCACACUGGGACUGAGACACGGCCCAGACUCCUACGGGAGGCAGCAGUAGGGAAUCUUCGGCAAUGGACGGAAGUCUGACCGAGCAACGCCGCGUGAGUGAAGAAGGUUUUCGGAUCGUAAAGCUCUGUUGUAAGAGAAGAACGAGUGUGAGAGUGGAAAAGUUCACCACUGUGACGGU
rnacentral:rRNA from 1 species